UUAUCACAUUUGGGCUGGACUUAAAAGGCAGAAACAUGCCAGACUUUAGAGAGUUUUCAUUUCGUGUGGUUUAGGAAGAGAAGCAGUACAUUAUCAGCUGGCAAAAUGGGGAGAGAAAAGAAAAUAAUCAUUUCCUGAAAUGUGCAGCUUUGAUCUUGGUACCUCCAUAGGACUGACAUCUGAAACAGCAGUUUAAAGUCACCCUUUUCUCCUCAAGAAGUGCAUUCUGUCCCAAUCACAUCCAAAUUAGAACCUGAUGUCCUGUGAAGAUCUAGCCAUGGAAGCUCAAACUUUUUCCACAGCUGCUGCUCUUGUCUGAGUAGAGCUUUAGAGCCCUUAUGUGAAUACCCUAAUGUCCUGGAAAAGGCUCUAGCUAUUAGUCUGAAUUUCUCCGUUUUUAGUUCUGGGAAGUUGAAUUCCUGGCCUGAGGGACUCCUUGUGGCCUGCAGCAUUUGGAUAAAAUUCAAAACCGAGAGGCAUUGACCACAUUUUCUCUUGAAUUCUUUCUUACUCUAAGAAGGAGAGUCUCCAUUAGCCAAAGAUUUUAACAAGCAAGAUUUGCUCCUUGUUCCAGCUAAUGCCGGCAUCCGACUCAUUUGGACCACUGGAAUUUAUUUAGUCAAGUGUGCUUUGAAGAACUGUCUAAUCCGGGAAGGAAUGUAUUGAAGUCUGGUCAUCCAGCCCUUUCUUCCUUCAAAAUGAAGUAUUGAUUUUCAUGCCACUUUAAUUUCCCAGGAGGGCAAAAAUGGAAUGGAAGUAACUCCCAGAACAGUGAUCUAGAAGAGCAAAACUUUUUGAUUGACAAGGAAGUUGUAGCUCAUCACCGUGUACACCGACCUCAUAAGUGUACCGACAGCCAGCCAGGAAACGAAAGUCUAUGGACAGAUCUGGAGUGGUGAUGGGCAAAAGAGAAGUGACUAAUCAGAGAAGGAUUUAAGAGGCACUCUGAGUAGGAACCGAUGAACUCUGAGUGAGACGACGCUCAGUGGUGUGUGACUCUCGCCAGCGACCUUGCACCGCACAGCUGCGUCCACAGAGGCAAACAAAGGCAAAUGGCCAAGUGACACAUGUCAGACCUGCUGGAGCAGCGCUCACUGGAGGGAGACACCACGGAGACAGGAGCAGGAGAAAUGGUUCUGAGCCAGUUUCCUUGGAGCUUUGCAGAAGAGCAACUCUUUUUCUGGGAGGUCAGCCUUCGGGACCAAUCUUGAAAAAAUAAACCCUUAACUGUCAAUACUUUCACAUUAAGAAGUUGAAGCUGGACACCUCAGAUGAUCAGAUGAUUGAAUUGUGAGGGAAGACGAAAGCUGGUGAACAAAGAGGCCUCGUAAUAAUUCUGCGGCUCCUGGAAGAUCAACUUUUAUUUGCUUGUUUGCUUUUCUAUGUAGUCAUUCAAUGUGAGCACUCAAGGUCACUCCCUAGCAUUCUAGAGAAGUCUGUGUGUGCAAGCAUUCAGGGCUCCAGGUUUUUUCAUCAUUUUGACCCAUGCACCCUUAAAGUCCCUUGUUAUCUAAAUGGUUGUAAGCCUGUUAUGGGUUCUGGAGUUGGAAGAGGAAAGAGCAUGAAGGCAUUCCCCUUAUCUUAAGCCCUGAUGCCUCCGUAAACACUCUGUUGCAAACCCGUCACUUUGGCAAACACUCUGUUGACAACAACUCAGGCAGGAGAUCAUGCCUCACUGAGAGACCGCGAAAUGUACGGUUUGGGGCCAGAAACACACUGAACUGCAAUCUGUUUUUAUGGAGUGGGGGAGAAUAAAUUUGGGUGAAGAGCCAGCAGUCUCCACCAGA